rnacentral:rRNA from 1 species
AACGCUAGCUACAGGCUUAACACAUGCAAGUCGAGGGGCAGCAUGGUCUUAGCUUGCUAAGACUGAUGGCGACCGGCGCACGGGUGAGUAACACGUAUCCAACCUGCCGUCUACUCUUGGACAGCCUUCUGAAAGGAAGAUUAAUACAAGAUGGCAUCAUGAGUCCACAUGUUCACAUGAUUAAAGGUAUUCCGGUAGACGAUGGGGAUGCGUUCCAUUAGAUAGUAGGCGGGGUAACGGCCCACCUAGUCUUCGAUGGAUAGGGGUUCUGAGAGGAAGGUCCCCCACAUUGGAACUGAGACACGGUCCAAACUCCUACGGGAGGCAGCAGUGAGGAAUAUUGGUCAAUGGGCGAUGGCCUGAACCAGCCAAGUAGCGUGAAGGAUGACUGCCCUAUGGGUUGUAAACUUCUUUUAUAAAGGAAUAAAGUCGGGUAUGCAUACCCGUUUGCAUGUAUUUUAUGAAUAAGGAUCGGCUAACUCCGUGCCAGCAGCCGCGGUAAUACGGAGGAUCCGAGCGUUAUCCGGAUUUAUUGGGUUUAAAGGGAGCGUAGGCGGACGCUUAAGUCAGUUGUGAAAGUUUGCGGCUCAACCGUAAAAUUGCAGUUGAUACUGGGUGUCUUGAGUGCAGUAGAGGUGGGCGGAAUUCGUGGUGUAGCGGUGAAAUGCUUAGAUAUCACGAAGAACUCCGAUUG